AAGACUCUCGGCAACGGAUAUCUCGGCUCUUGCAUCGAUGAAGAACGUAGCGAAAUGCGAUACUUGGUGUGAAUUGCAGAAUCCCGUGAACCAUCGAGUCUUUGAACGCAGGUUGCGCCCGAAGCCAUUAGGCCGAGGGCACGCCUGCCUGGGUGUUGCACAU
rnacentral:rRNA from 1 species